rnacentral:rRNA from 1 species
CAGUCGCCGCGGUAAUACGUAGGUGGCAAGCGUUGUCCGGAAUUAUUGGGCGUAAAGGGCUCGCAGGCGGUUUCUUAAGUCCGAUGUGAAAGCCCCCGGCUCAACCGGGGAGGGUCAUUGGAAACUGGGAAACUUGAGUGCAGAAGAGGAGAGUGGAAUUCCACGUGUAGCGGUGAAAUGCGUAGAGAUGUGGAGGAACACCAGUGGCGAAGGCGACUCUCUGGUCUGUAACUGACGCUGAAGAGCGAAAGCGUGGGGAGCGAACAGGAUUAGAUACCCGGGUAGUCCCUGUCUCUUAUAA